CGAGAAAUCAUAAGUGAUCCAUGUAGCCUUUCCUGGAUUAGUUAACUGACCUUGAGAGAAACUCUGCAGAAAUUGAGGAACCUUGCAUAAUCCUGUGCCGGUAACAUUAGAGUUGAAUCAGCAUAGGUUACUGAACGAGUAUUUGCGACGGCUACUGAAAGCAGGGGAGUGCUUUCUGAAACUGUCUGACAGCAACAUCGGUCACUGCAGAAAACGAAAACAACCGAAGACUACUUCUGCCUGCUGCUAAUUUCGUUUGUGUCAUUUCAGCAGAUUCUCUUGUGGAACAGGGGAUGGAAAAGGACACGGAAAUCAAAAGGCUGGUGGACGUGCAGCAGGACAAGCUUUGGAUCAUCGGCGAGGAGGUUCCGAGCUGCCCAGACGAGGUUGGACCUGCCGUCCUUGAUG